GUGGGGAAUCUUCCGCAAUGGACGAAAGUCUGACGGAGCAACGCCGCGUGAGUGAUGAAGGUCUUCGGAUUGUAAAGCUCUGUUAAUCGGGACGAAAGAGCCUAGUGUGAAUAAUGCUAGGAAGUGACGGUACCGGAAUAGAAAGCCACGGCUAACUACGUGCCAGCAGCCGCGGUAAUACGUAGGUGGCAAGCGUUGUCAGGAAUUAUUGGGCGUAAAGCGCGCGCAGGCGGAUCUGCCAGUCUGUCUUAAAAGUUCGGGGCUUAACCCCGUGAUGGGAUGGAAACUACAGAUCUAGAGUAUCGGAGAGGAAAGUGGAAUUCCUAGUGUAGCGGUGAAAUGCGUAGAUAUUAGGAAGAACACCAGUGGCGAAGGCGACUUUCUGGACGAAAACUGACGCUGAGGCGCGAAAGCCAGGGGAGCGAACGGGAUUAGAUACCCCGGUAGUCC
rnacentral:rRNA from 1 species